AAAAAGUGAGUAACUUAAAUCCAAAGCAGAAUAAAUAAUAAAAUGGAGAGCAGAAACCGAUAAAAUUGAAAACAGAGAAAACAAAAACAAAAACUCAUUCUUUGAAAAGAUCAAUGAAAUUCAUAAGCCCCUACCCAGGCCAACAGAAAAUAAAGAGGAAUUACACAAAUGACUAAUAUCAGAAAUAAAACACCACAUCCUCAUGAGUAGGGAGUCAACAGCAGAGUGCUGAGUUAGAACAUCGCUUUGUGGCAAUGAAGAAUGCCCUUGAAGACAUGGUACGCCCCAUUACUCAUGUUUAUGUUUUCCUAAACCAUACACAGAGCUCCCCUGGACUGACUCUAGAGGGGCUCCGAGUGCACAGCCUCAAGGUGGCUACGUGCCUUGUGUACUCAUCACACUUGGCCCUGUGGAGCCUGGGUGGCUUCACCUGACCUUGUCUACUGGGCCAACUUACCCGGAAGCUAAAAAACAUUGAGUUCGUAGUAGUUAGGGAGUAGAAUUUUGAUUAUCAGAGGCUGAGAGGGGUAGAGGGGUAGAUAGGAAAGAAGAGGUUGGUUAACAGAUACACAAUUAUAGCUAAAUAGAAAGAGUAGGUUCUAUUGUUUUAUAACACUGUAGGGUAAAUAAGGUUAACAAUAAUUUAUUAUAUAUUUUCAAUUGAGGUGAUGGAUAUGCUAACUACCCUGCUUUGAUUAUUCUAUAUCAUAUAUAUGGACUGAGAUACUACCCUGUAUCUUAUAAAUAUGUACAAUUACUAGGUGUCAACUAAAAAUAAAAGUGGGGAAAGUAAACCAUAUUAUCAUAAACUAGUAAUAUUAUUAAUACAGUACUUACAUGACAGGUACAGUUUUGAGUGCUUUAUAUCAAUAUAUUCAUUAAAUCCUCACAGUAACUCUAUGAGACUGAUACUAUAAUUAAUCCCCAUUUUACAGAUGAGAAAACUGAGAUGCAGAGAAUUUAAGCAACUUUCCCAAGGUCAAACAGCUAACUUGUGGCAGAACUGGUAUUUUAACAUAUAGAACAAGUGUGAACUAUAAGUUCAGAGAAAGGAGAAAUCUCCAUUGGUUUGAAUGGCUUAGGAAGACAUCAUUGACAGAGAGCACAUGAGCUAGUCCUCAAAAGAAGGGUAGAAUCCAGCAAGAAGGGAAUAGAAAAUGCAUGGGAAAGGGAAAGUGAUUUGACCGUGUUUCCUGGAGCACAUCACACCAUCACAAGACCAUAAGCAAUGAGUUGGCGGGGACCAACCAUUCCUUACAAAUGUAUGUAUCCUGGUACAAGGUAGGUGCUUACUAAAUAUUUUAGAAUGAAUAAAUGAAUGCUAUUAAAUACGGAAAAGUAAUUUGCAUUACAGCAUAGAAGUAAAUUAGGGUCAGAUUUUGGAAUCUUUUUGGAGGAAGUCUACUCUAGCAAUGAAAUUCAUAGUCUUUGGAAUCAGGUAGAUCAAGUUCAAAUCCCAGCUCUACCACUUAUGAGCUGUGUGAUCUUGACACUAUUACUCAAACUUUCUGAGCUUCUUUUUCUUUAUCCAUAAAAGAAGGACAAAGAUAUCUACCUCACAGAUUUAUUAUGAGGAUUAAAUAGGAUAACAUAGAUAUAUAUAGCUCCUAGUAUCUGGUAAAAUACUGAAUAAAUGGUAACUACUUUUUAUUGGCAGACUAAGUAGUUUAUAUAUCCACUAUUGGUAGAAUGACCUAUUGAUCCUGUAAAUGAUUAAGGAGGCACUCAAGGAAAAUUAAUCUAAGAAGGAGGAAUGAAACGAAGGGAGGAGACACAAGGGAGGAGAGGCAGCUUAACAAGCUAUUACAGUUGCCCUGACAUGAGCUAAGUGUCUGAAUCUGGUCACUGGCAGCAGAAAUAGGAAGAAAAACUGGAACAAGAUUCAUGGUUAAAACAAUCUUAAAUGAUUUUCCCUCUUUCGUAUUGGGCUUUUAUUCCAGUCUAUAAGAACUUGCAUGAGAAAUAUAUGUUAAAGCCUCAUUCUAACCAUUCAUAUAAACUGUUAAAUUGCUAGCAAUCAAAAAAGAUAGGUAAAAAAUCCACAACUAAGAAGACACCUUACACAAAUAUUAAUAUGC
rnacentral:lncRNA from 10 species